rnacentral:rRNA from 1 species
CGGCAAUAGCUCAAAUUUGAAAUCUGGCUCUUUUAGAGUCCGAGUUGUAAUUUGUAGAGGGCGCUUUGGCGUUUGCAGCGGUCUAAGUUCCUUGGAACGGGGCGUCAUAGAGGGUGAGAAUCCCGUACGUGGUCGCUAGUAUUCGCCGUGUAAAGCCCCUUCGAC